rnacentral:rRNA from 1 species
GCUAAGGUACCCAAGAGCUCACAUCGACGAAAAGGUUUGGCACCUCAAUGUCGGCUCUUCGCCACCUGGGGUUGUAGUAUAUUCCAAGGGUUGGGCCGUUCACCUGUUCCUACGCAGCUUAGGUGGAAGGCGAAGAAGGCCU